UCGCAUCUGUGCAUGCAGCAUAUCAAUAAGCGGAGGAAAAGAAACUAACAAGGAUUCCCCUAGUAACGGCGAGUGAAGCGGGAAGAGCUCAAAUUUGAAAUCUUAAAGGGUUUCCCUUUACGAAUUGUAGUUUAAAGAAGUGUUUUCUGUUGAGGUUUUGGUAAAAGUUCUUUGGAAUAGGACAUCAUAGAGGGUGAGAAUCCCGUAUUUGACCUUUACUUUCAACUUUGUGAUACACUUUCAAAGAGUCGGAUUGUUUGGGAAUGCAGUCCAAAAUGGGUGGUAAAUUUCAUCUAAAGCUAAAUAUUGGCGAGAGACCGAUAGCGAACAAGUACCGUGAGGGAAAGAUGAAAAGAACUUUGAAAAGAGAGUUAAACAGUACGUGAAAUUGUCAAAAGGGAAGCGUUUGACACCAGUGUUGUUUUUCUGAAAAUCAAUUAAAGAACUGUUUAUGCUAAGCUGUUUAGACUUUAUCAGCUAUCUGUUUAGUUUUGAGCUUUUCUUUAAUGCACUUUUCAGUUAACAGGUCAACAUCAAUUUCUUUUGCUGUAAAAAAGCUUGAGGAAGGUGGCUUGAGAUUCGUCUUAAGUGUUUAUAGCCUCUUGCCUAUGCAGUCGGAGAGAUUGAGGUCUGCAGCGUAGAUCCUUCGGGGCUAAAUGCAUUUGUGCUAAGUUAUAACAUUUUAUAGACAACUUGUUGACUAUGAUUUGUCUUGUAGCUUACUCGCUUAUGUUAUUUUACCUACGCUUAGGAUGUUGACAGCAGUAUAGACUGU
rnacentral:rRNA from 1 species